GGCCGGAUCCGCAGGAGGCCUGAGAAGGGGUGGGCCCCGCGAGGGGGCGUGGUGAUGGAGGGGCGGGCCCGGAGGGGCUGCAGGCCGGCCUCGUGGAUGCUCCGGGGCUGCUUGUGCUUGGGGUCCCCGGGUAGGUCGCGGUGACCAUGGAUUGGUGCGAGUCCCCGGGAGCGUGAACUCCCGCGCGUGCGCGCUGCCGGGUGGGCGGUUGUGUGAGGGCAGCGGGGGUGCGGGGGCGCGCACUGCUGUGCAGGUACGGAUCUGGUGCAGUGCCGGGUCCGUCCCGAGCUGGACAGCUGACCCUCGGGACGCCGCCGGCCACGGGGACCUCACGCCCUGUCCGAAGGAUCCGACACCCGGGAGCCUCCUGCCUCUCCCCAGGCAGCGCCCAGCCUCCGGCAUGCAGGAAGCAGUGACCUUCGGGGAUGUGGCCGUGGACUUUGACCAGGAGGAGUGGGCCUAUCUCGGUCCUACUCAGAAGGAGCUCUACCGGGAGGUCAUGCUGGAGAACUACAGGAACCUGGUCUCACUGGGAGCGGGACUUCUAGGCCCCAAACCACACCUGAUCUCCUGGUUGGAGGAAGAAGGGUCACAGUCGUGGGGUGUCGAGGAAGGGACCCCAAGAAGAGCCCAUGCACAAGAAGGGGGGUGCUCCAGCAACGAUCGAGGAACUGCAUGGAAUAUUAAACUUGAGCAUGAGGAGUCAUCUCAAAAGCAAGAAGGAGGAGGAUUACCUUGGAUCUUUAUGAAGAGAGUCAGGGGAAGUGUUCCCAAGAGCUAUCUGCUAAGGGAGGUUCCUAUCCAAGAGAUCGGUGUAUGGAAGCACAUGGCAAGCUUUACAGGAGACCCUCCAGGGAAAUUCAUAUUACAGGAGAGAAGCUUUGGGCCAUUGUCCUUUCUUCCCAGGAAGAUCAGUAAUCAACAAGAAGUCCAAGCUUGUAUUAAUCUUGAGAAGAGCUUUAGUCAAAGCAUCUGCUGGCCCACAAGACCAUGGGAUUAUAAUGUAUAUGAGAAUCUCUCUCAUUACCACACAGCCCUCAUUCAACACCAGAGACUAAAUAGUAGAGAGAAACCUUAUGAUUUUGAGCAAUGUGAAAAGACUUCAAAUCUCAUUCAGCAUCCAAGGAUUCACAGUGGUGAGAAACUUUUCGAGUGUAAGGAAUGUGGAAAGAGUUUUAAACGAAGUUCACACCUUAUUCAACAUCAGAGAAUUCACAGUGGAGAAAAGUCUUAUAAAUGUAAUGAAUGUGGAACAGCCUUUAGUCAGAACUCCCAUCUUAUUAGACAUCAAAGAAUUCAUACUGGAGAGAAACCUUAUCAUUGUAAAGAAUGUGGGAAGGCCUUUAGCAGGAGCUCCCACCUCAUUCAACACCAGAGAAUUCACACUGGAGAGAAACCUUACGAGUGCAAGGAAUGUGGGAAGGCCUUCAGUCGGAGCUCGGCCCUUACUCAGCAUCAGAGACUUCACAGUGGAGAGAAACCUUACACGUGCAAAGACUGUGGGAAGGCCUUCAGUUGGAGCUCAGCCCUUACUAAUCAUCAGAGAAUUCACACUGGAGAAAAGCCUUACAAAUGUAAAGAUUGUGGGAAGGCCUUCAGCUUUAGUUCACUGCUUACUAAACAUCACCGGAUUCACACUGGAGAAAAGCCCUAUGAAUGUAAGGAGUGUGGGAAGGCCUUUAGUCAGAGCUCAGCUCUUAUUAAACAUGAAAGAAUUCACAGUGGAGAGAAGCCUUAUGAGUGUAAGGAGUGUGGUACGUCUUUUAGUUGGAGCUCAGCCCUUAUUCAACAUUAUAGAAUUCAUACUGGUGAGAAACCUUAUGUGUGCAAGCAGUGUGGGAAGGCCUUUAGCCAAAGUUCAGCCCUUAUUAAGCAUAAAAGGAUUCAUAGUAGAGAGAAACCCUAUGAAUAUAAAAAACGUGGGACAAAUUUCCAUUGGAGCUCAGCACUUAUUCAACAUCAGCAGAACAACACUGAAGAGAAAUCUUAAAAAAGCAAAAGAUGAAAGCCUUCAGCCACAACUCAUCCCUUAUUCAGGAAAGAAUAUUUAGAGGAGAAAUGUCUAUGUAAGUGAGGAGUAUAUAAAGCCCUUCAUAUAAAGUUUAAACCUUACUUGAUAUCAGAGAAUUCAUGCUGGAGGAAAACUGAAUUUCGUGAAUAUUGAAAGACCUUUAACGAACAGCCUUCAGUGUGAUUGAUGAGGUUUAAUUGCACAUCAACCAGUUCGUUCUGGGCCACAACCUUACUUGAGGGCAGAAAAUUUGGGAAAGCCUUCAGGCCAAGAUCUAAUCUACUUUACCACCCACGGGGUCAUCCUGGAGGAAAUUACCUCAUGUAAAAAAAUGUGGAAAAGAAUAAACAUAACUCUUAUCUAAAUCUAACUUCACAUUACCACCCUGAAAAAGUAAGAAAUUUAACAAACACAUUUAAAAAAACAAACAUAAAAGCAAGGAAAGAAAUCACUUCCAAGAAAACCUUGCAGAAAAACCAGCAGAGAAGCCAAACUAAUGAGUUCAUUAAAAACAGAUCCUUAGCCGUGAGAGAAAAGAAAGCAAAGAAAAAUCCCCAGAAGAAAGGAAUGAUACUGUUAUACCAAAACAGAGCCUUGAAAAAUGAGAAUAGAACAGAGUGAGUGAGAAUCUUAUUAAAAUUGAAGAUGUCAGGAGAAAAUUUGGAGCUCUUAAAGAAUUUCACAACAAACAGAACUAUGUAGAAAAAAAGGUAGAAAGUUUAAAUAAGAUGGAUGCUAUGAAAAGAGAACAGCAGAAAGUGAUCACAGAAAUGCUAAGAUAUAGCAGUAAAUAUUGCACAAAGUUAAAAGACAGCAAAAUUGGAAGAACAAUCGAGAAUUCCAUAGACUAAGGCAAAUGAGCUCCAAGACAGAGCUUGGUGAGCCAGUCUGAAAACCAUUGUCCCCACCCCCAGAACCAGACUCCAGAAUAUCAUAUUUCUAGUGAUCAUACAAAACUGCCUGGAAAUAUUGGACUUAAGAGUCCACAGGAAGUUGUCAAAGAGGAACCAUUCCCCCACCCCCAUUCCCACUGCCAUGUUACCUUAUCAAGAAAAAUAGACUAAAAGGUCUAGUGUUUCAAAGUAAAAGAAAGAGUCUAGUACAUUGCAGGAAGAGUUGGUUCACUUAGCAAGAAAUCCUGUGUCUUGUUCCUUGAAGAUUUCUCAUGAUGGAAGAGAAGAUGGGCUGAGCCUGAGAGAAGCGCGCGGCGGCAGCUCGGGGCCCCCGGCCAGAGCCCAGCUUCUUUUGGCCUGGGAUAUUAGGCUUCCGAAGCUGCAGCUUCCCCAGGGACAUCAAGGGACCCUCCAACGGGACAUCCCCCAGAAUGCCCCACAUCCAGAAGAUCGGAUUAUGGAAUAAAAGGGAAACGUCCCCAGUUUUCUCUGGGGAAAUUCCUUUCCCAGGAAAUUGACUUCUUUGGAAGCAUAGCCUCAUUUGGGAAGGGGGUCCCUAUAUGUCUCUCUCUGGGAGACCCCAAGGACAUGCAGUUAUAACAAGUGUGGGGAUGUUUCCUGUUGCCUUGGUGACCCUACGGAGGGGGAAGGAGGUUGUAAGUAAAACUAGAACUCCUGUUUUGAAUAAGGGAACUGAGGAGAAACUUGAUCAGUGCAAGGAACAUGGAUGGACCAUUAGAAGAUGUUCACAUCAGAGAACUUAGAGUGGAGAGAAGUCUUAUAAAUGCAAGGAAGGUGGGAGAAGCUUGAAUGGGAGCUGAUACCUCCCUCAGGAGCAGAGAAUCUGGAGACAGGCCUUGGACAUGGGACCCCUCACGAGGGAUCAACCCUCGCUUAACAUCAAAGACAUCCUCCUGGCAAGAAACAGGAAAGUCAGGAAGGUGGAAGGGCCUUCAGCCCCAGCCCGGCCACUACAGAACAUCAGAGAAUCCCUAGUGGGUGACGAGGGCUUUCAGCCUCAGCUUGGAAAUUACAGUUUAUGCUAGGAAAAAAGUGAAGAUAAGUACUAUGGAACCCCCUUCCGGGGGCUCAUUCUUUGCAUCCAAUCAUGCACAAGAGAGUCUUACAAGCAUGAUGACUGUAAUCUUCAACUAGCGACUAGCCCUUCACAUCAGAAAGAUUGUUUUCUUAUAAAGUCUGGCUGGGUAACACUGGGUUUGGAUCAGGAAGAUCUGACUGUGCCUUCCAUUCCAUGGGCAGGCCCAUCUGCCUCAUUUCCUCAACUCUACAAUAACUACAACAUCUCCCUCAUGACGUGGUUGGAUCGAAUGACCUAUUUGUAAAGUGCUUAGCCCAGGGCCUGGCACGUGGUAGGGGCUACAGAAAUAAUUAUUCUCUUCCUCUCUGAGAGGAGGGAGAGAAAGGGACGCAGAGGAAUCCAGGUCUUGUUAAAGGCAGACAUAGCUAAUUUUUGGAAAGGAAAGAAACCACGUAAAUAUAAGGAAGAAACGCUUUCAGUGUUGGGCCCCGUUCUUGGACUCCUCAUUCAGUUCACCUGUGAAGAGAGGCAGAGACCUUCAACAAGUGCUUGACCUUCAUUAAAUGUGAACGACUUGUUUCCCUGGAGGUCCUGGGCCUUUCAUUCUUCCCAGUGACUUUUAUUAUUGCUGCAUUUGUUUGCAUCGUGCCCCCCUUGUCGUGUGAUUUUGUCAGUCUAGGUUAACUCCCAGGUAUUGCGUGCACUUUGUAGUUAGGAGUGGAAUUUAGCUCUGUGGCUUUUGUGGAAACCUCUGCAGUCCGCCACUUUCACAAAGCUGCUAAUGCUAAUUCUCUCUUUCCCAAGGACACUACUGUGUCUCUGCAAAGCCAUCGUCUUGCCCCGUGUAUGAUAAUGAUAUGUAAUAAUAAGCUCAAAUAGAUAUAGGGCCUAAGGGGAGGAGGUUGCACCAUGAAAAAUUAUGACAUAGGAGAGCUUUUCCUUUUAUAGCAUCUUGGAGUAGAGCAAAAAGAACAUCAUAAAAAAGCAAAAUAGAAGUUUUUAAUUGUAUAAAAUUUAAAAUUUUAUAUAAACAAAAGUAAUGCAAAUAAAAUACAAAGAGAAGCAAUCAAUUGGAAAAAAAAAUCUUUCCAUCAAAUAUGAUAUAAACAUAGCACCAACAAUCAUUUCCUAGUAGAUCAUUAAUGGACAAAUGAUAUAAAUAAAGUGUUCUCAAGUAAUUGCAAAUUAUAAGGGACCUUUUGGAAGCAUGCUCUAAAUUGUUUAUACUAAGGAUCAAAAAUCCAAAUGAGGAGAAAUGACAAAAAAGAGGAAAUGGUCACUCUUGAGGGGUUUGUGGGAAGAGGAAUGGGGAUGGGAUGGGAACAAGCAUUAUUGAUCCCUCCAGCUACUGCCCUGUCUGGGUUCAGCAACCUGGAACAAGAUAGCUCCUCACCCCCCAGAACAAGCUCAUCACCUCAUCAUCUCAUCACUGUCCUGCUGACUCAAGCCUGAACAGACUCCGCCUUCCUCAGCUUCCUCUUCCCUUUGACUGGAAGGACUGAGGGGGGCCACCAAGCUCCUGGGAUCUUUCUUUAUAGCGAGCAGAGACUGGACUCUGGCACUUGUUUUUCUCUCUCAUCUGCUGCGUUACUAGGCUUCAACUCUAUUCGGAUUAUGGGAGGUGUGAAUCUCAUUCUUGUGAAUCUCCUACUGAAUUCUGACUUGUGAAUCUCCCAACUCGUGAACUAAAGUGUGAGCUAAGGUGUGAACUCUCAAAGGUGUAAACAUACAUAAGCAUUGUUUCUAUCAAUUCCAUUGAGUUGACCCCUUGUUUCAAGUUCUGGAUCAUAACAACAAAUGUGUUUCUUCUUUCAUGUGGAUUUUAGCAAAGCCAUUGAUCACUCAAUAUUUGUACUGUACUGUACUGUAAGAAUUACAAAAUUCUUAAAGAAAUAAAGAACCACUUAUAUGAAGGAAUAA